rnacentral:lncRNA from 1 species
CAUAAGGCACAGCUUCUCUCCUUUGAGAAAGAACAAAUAAGAAUGAAGUGUUAUAUUGCAAAGCUAAUUAUAUAUUCUGUUCAAGUGUCAACCAUCUGUUGCAAUUGUUUAAAAAGCAGAUAUAAGUCAACUGUUGGGGUGAGAUGUUUACCAUUGUGAACACACAGAAAGAUUAUGACACCAGUGCAGAUAUGCUGUUCUAGCACGUGCCAGGGGCUGCAGUCUCCCGAAGCCCUCAGAAGCCCGCCUUCCUGUGAGAGGAUAUGUGAGACAAUGAGCUGUUUUCAACAAAUGUGAACAAUGGCUGUUUACCAGUUAGCUUCUGUCUUCAUUUGGGUUCCCAGAAACAGAUACUGAGAUGGAGAUCUAUGUACAGGACUUUUAUUGGUAUACAAGCUGGUUUCCUCAAAAGGAGCUAUCCAGAAAAGGAUUCAUGGGAAUGUAAUUUAAUCUGGAAGACUUUUUGGGAAAACAUAAUAGGAGAGUGGGGAGUGGGAAAAAAAAGAGACCACAAAAGGGUGUGGUACCAAACCAAGUCCCAGCAAGGAAAAUGUUGGCUCAGUCCCACAAGUGAGCUCUAGAGACGCCAUGGGUUACACACAGGUGUGCAGGUAAACUGGCCCCCUGAGAAAACUGGACUUAUCCAAAUAGAGGGCAGGAUACGUAACUGGCUAUAUUUCAUUUAUUGAUUGAAGGCUGCCCCAGGCACUGGAAGCACUGCCUGUAGUAAGGCAAGGUGACUACUGACAGCCUGAGGGCAAGUUUUUUACCAAGAAGCACAGGUGCUAGCUGUUAUUGAUGAAAGCACACUUGGAAUUGAUCUACAAAAGUAGAUCCUAGGGGCCGGCCCGGUGGUGAAGCGGUUAAAAUCGCGCAUUCUGCUUCUCGUUGGCCCGAGGUUCACCGCUUCGGAUCCCGGGUGCGGACAUGGCACCGCUUGGCACGCUAUGCUGUGGCAGGCGUCCCACAUAUAAAGUAGAGGAAGAUGGGCACGAUGUUAGCUCAGGGCCAGGCUUACUCAGCAAAAAAGAGGAGGACUGGCAGUAGUUAGCUCAGGGCUAAUCUUCCUCAAAAAAAAAAAAAAAAAACAAGAAAAACUCAAAAAACAGAUCUUAAUCUUUCUCACCACACAUGCAUACACACACACACACACACAGAAAGGAGUUAACUAUGGGAGCUGAUGGAUGUGUUAAUUAUCUUGAUCUUGGCAAUCAUUCUACAAUGUACAUGUCUAUCAAAUCAUCACCUUGUACACUUCAAAUAUAGACAAUUAUAUUUGUCAAUUAGUCUUCAAUCAUGUUAAAAAAGGGGAGGUGUAAAGGGAUCCAUGGCAACAUUGGCAGCAUCUUUCAUAGCAAUAAUACUGAUGUUAACAUAGCAAAGAGUUUCCCUGAGCAAAGUAUUUUGCCCUUCAUACUUUCGCUCUCAUCUCAUUUUGCUGGGUAAGGAUUAUUAUUCUCUGUUGACAGAUGGUAAAAAUGAGUCUCAUUUAGCAUAUUGUGCAUAUGUAUACACACGUAGACAUAAGUACCUCUAAAUGUAUGUUUAACAAUCUGUGAUAUUUGGUCUUUCCAUGAAAGCAGGUCAUUUAAUGGGACUUAUAUAAAUUCAUUUGUGCUAUAGUGCUUUAAACAAAGCAAAGAAAAAAGCCUUUGAGAGAAUUUAUUUGUAUUUUAAAUAUUUAAAACCCUGCUGAGUCAUGACAGCUCAGUCAUCAGAAGUUUGCAAGGAUGUUUGCAUAGUUUGCAUAGAAAAAUCCCAAGGGGUGAAAAGAGAAUACUUGUCUCUUCUCUGGCAGAAAGGGACACUUUUUUCUAGCAUUAUAGUUCAUGAUAGUCGCUGUAACGAUGCUUAUUAGAACUUCUUAAUAAUAUCAUAGCCGCUGUCGAUUUGCAAUUACACUUAUAAACAGCUGAGUGGAGAAUACCUGGAUCUCUGCCAUAUGUUCCUCUCUCUCCAGCUCCUGCUGAUCAGUUGAAUCUCUCACAGCAAGGUAUGGAUCAAAAUAGAAUGUGAAUAUAAUGGGGCUAGGAGUUCUCCAUUAGUCAGUUGCUAGAGUGAGGAAAGAGUUGAGAAACACCUAAAUUCUUGAUGUGCAUUGAUUCUGACAUGCAAAUAAAGUGAACUGCAGUAACGAGGGUCA